rnacentral:rRNA from 1 species
AGUGAACGCUGGCGGUAGGCCUAACACAUGCAAGUCGAACGGCAGCACAGUAAGAGCUUGCUCUUACGGGUGGCGAGUGGCGGACGGGUGAGGAAUACAUCGGAAUCUACUUUUUCGGGGGGGAUAACGUAGGGAAACUUACGCUAAUACCGCAUACGACCUACGGGUGAAAGCAGGGGAUCUUCGGACCUUGCGCGAUUGAAUUAGCCGAUGUCGGAUUAGCUAGUUGGCGGGGUAAAGGCCCACCAAGGCGACGAUCCGUAGCUGGUCUGAGAGGAUGAUCAGCCACACUGGAACUGGGACACGGUCCAGACUCCUACGGGAGGCAGCAGUGGGGUAUAUUGGACAAUGGGCGCAAGCCUGAUCCAGCCAUACCGCGUGGGUGAAGAAGGCCUUCGGGUUGUAAAGCCCUUUUGUUGGGAAAGAAAAGCAGCAGGUUAAUACCCCGCUGUUCUGACGGUACCCAAAGAAUAAGCACCGGCUAACUUCGUG